UGGAACUUUUUCCUCAAAGCCGACAAGUAUAAAAUAUCCGGGCUUUUAGUAAAAAAAAUAGUUUUACACGAAGCUUUGAAUAGUAAAGUACUUGCUGUGCAAUAUAUAAAAAUGAGUCAAAUCCUUAUUCGACUUCUACUCUUGGUGGCUCUCAUCAUUUGUUUGGUCGGAACUGCCUUUGGACGACCAGGCUGCACUGACGGUUGCGACAGUUGCGAUAAUUGCUCUAAAGGUACUGCAGAACCCGAGCCUGCAACUGGUAAACUCGCCUAAUCUUUCAUCAUGCUGAUUUGCUAUUUCCGAUUCAUUUGAUCUUGUUAUUGAAAUUACGUAAUUAUUGUAAUCAGCAUGGGAUUGUUAAUAAACUAAAAUACAUCGAG